AGCUUGUCAAUCUUCCAGACAGUUCGACCAAUUCCAGGUUCUAUACAUUUUAGCAUUUUAGAGCUCUUGAUUGUCGGGUGUGGAAGAUACAACCACCCACUGAAUCCCCAAGUCCGUCAGUUCGUAAAGUCAAUCGGCAUGAAGCUAGAAACUGUUGAUUCUGAAAUGCUGCAUCAACUUACAACAUACUGAAUGAGGAAGGCAGGAUCGUAGCUGCUGCAUUGCUUCCUUAUGGAGUUACAUCGUAAGAAACUCAACACCUCUGGAAUACUGUAGAACAAACUUCGAACAACUUGCCUCGAUCUUUAUAGUUGAAACACCAACAUGGUCUUCUUGUCUACUGUAAAUGAUAUAUUUCACUCUAUUUGUAAAACUUUUGCAAAAAA